rnacentral:Y_RNA from 1 species
GGUAAGUCAAAUGUAAGUUACAAAGCGUCUGGUUGGUAACGAGUUAUCUCGAUUGUUCACAGUUAUAGAUUAAAUUCCUUAUUCUGCUCUUUCCCCUCAUUCACUACUGAACUUGACUAGUCUUAA